rnacentral:rRNA from 1 species
GACGAACGCUGGCGGCGUGCUUAACACAUGCAAGUCGAACGGAAAGACCCUGAUACUGUGGCGUGCUCGAGUGUCGAACGGCUGAGUAACACGAGAGUGACCUGCCACGGAUUUUCAGAUAACUUCAUGAAACUGGAUAUCAUCGCGGAACGGAGCUCCUGCUCCAUUGAGGGGUUUGGAAAGUUUCGGCAGUAGGGGAUGGACUCGCGGCUUAUCAGCUUGCUGGUGGGGUAGUGGCUUGCUAGGGCGGUGACGGGUAGCCGGCCUGAGAGGGUGGACUGACACAUCGGAAUGGAGAUACGGCCCAGACUACUACGGGAGGCAGCGGUGGGGAAUAGUGUACAGCGGGAGGAAGCCUGAUGCAGCAACGCCGCGUGCGGGAUGACGGCCUUCGGGUUGUAAACCGCUGUCGCGUGUGACGAAGCGAGAGUGACGGUAAUGGGUAAAGAAGCACCGGCUAACUACGUG